rnacentral:pre_miRNA from 1 species
AGCUCAGUUGUUGAAUCAUAUGAUAAGAGUAUGUUUAUUUUUAUAAGAAACUACCAAACUGUCUUCUAAAGUGGCUGUACAUUUUACAUUCUCACCAUCAGU